CGUCCGAUUUUGAUAAAAACCGAAGAACCGGCGGUUUUUGUAUAACCGGCCGGUUUGGAAAACCUUUUUUUUUUUUUUCGUUUUCAAAACGAAUGUCUCUCACUCUCUCGUAUACCCCCUUGCCCCCUUCCCCCUAACCCUAAAUCCCCAAAAGCCAAAACAGCAGUCCUUCAAGUCUUCCUCAGCUUCUCAUCACACCAUACAUAGUUGAUCACCACACCUCACCUCACCUCACCGUCGGCCUGUCGUCUUCUUUCUCCCCUCGUCACACCAACACUCUUCCUCGCAGUCUCUCUCAGUCUCGAAGACUCUCUUCCUCUGCUUCAUCUCGCUGGCUUCACAGUGUGUCCGAGUACGUCGAGUUCGUGGCUUCGCGUCUCUCGUCGUCGUCGUCGCGUCUCCUGCGUCACUGCUGCGGUGCCACCUCUCCGUCGCUGCUGCAGUGCUGCCUCUCCGUCGCUAGAAUCUGCCUCAUCCAGGUUGGUCUCCAAACUAUGAAAUCUGUUCUCUGUUUUUUUUAGUUAUUUAGUUGGAUUUUAAUUUGAUUAAGGGAGUGAAUAACUGAUAGGUUAAUGGCAGAUUGUUGAUUAUGUAUAUAUUGUUGAGUUAUAACUUGUUAUAUUGUUGAACUAGUUGAUGGCAGAUUGUUAGAUUUUUUUUUUUUUUUCUGAUUCGUAGUGGUUAUGUUUGUUUUUAUUGAUGUAACAUUGCUGUGAAUUUAUAUUGCUGGAUAUGAAAAUAUGGAAAUAUGGAAAUAUGGAUUAUGUAACAUUGUUUUUGUAAUACCUAUUUUAUACCAUUGCUCUCCUAUAUUGUUUUAGAAUGUCUUCAGCCAAUAUACCAUCAGAAACACCAUCCUCCACGGUUCCUUGCUCCGUCGGCGCAUCCUCUCCGUCCACUGCCUCCUCUCUCGAAUUGCUGGAUUUUUUAUUAAUUUUUGAUUAUGCCAUUAUGCUUGUUUGCUUUAGAAAAAGGAUUGCUGGAUUUUCUAGCAAUUUUUGUCGGAGUUAUUUGUUGUUGAACUAUUAUGCCAUUGUGCAUCUGUUUAGUGUAGUGACUCUGAGUCUUUUUGUCGAAUUAUUUGCUGUUGAACUACUAUGGUGUUGCUUUUAAAUGUGUGUUGAAUUAAAUGGUUGUUUUCAAGUUGAAUGCAACCAUUUUACUUGUGAGUAAAGUGCUUGUUAUCCAUUCAUCAAUUUCUCAUGGUUGUUUGUCUUUGUUAGGUACCAAUCUUGCUCAUAAUUUAAAUCAUUCGGCAGAUUUAGGCUUGAAAACAUGUUGACAAAACUGGUUUUAUGUCCAAAACAGAUUUUAGUGAAUGCAUAUAUGGUUGCUUUUGUCUUGUCUAACAAGAACCUUUUGAAUUGAACUGUUGGAAAUAGGUUAUGCUCCCAACAUUGAACAAUUGAUGUAAAUUUGUAUUUUGUAAUAGCUGUUGUUUUAUACCUUUGCUAUUAUAUUUUCUAGUUACGUGAAACCGAUUUUACCGGUUCAACCAGUAAUUUAUCGGUUGAACCAGUAAACCAAUGAACCAGUAACCUGAUCGGUUUGAUCACCGGUUCGGUUCUUACAACUAUGAAUAUGACUAGCUUUAG